AGAUUCUUCCACAGCUCGAAAGCGAGAGAGACAACUUGUCAUUCUCUGUAGAUCUGCAGAGUCUGCAACACCGUGUUGAUUGCUUCGUCGAGAUGGUGAAGAUGAUGGAGGAAGAGUACAUCAUUGAAAUGGAGAAUAUGGCUGAAGAAGAAGGCGAGCCUAUUUCCUCAAGAAUUGAUUUUGGUGGUGGAAUGAUCAAGUCCAAGAUGGUUGGAUUAUCUGAUGAAUUCGAAAAAGCGAGAGAUUGUCUUCUUAAAGGUAAUUAUUAUUCGCUUAAUGGGAUGGCGGGCGUUGGGAAAACAACUCUUGCUAAGCAUGUUUUUGAAGAUCCAUCCAUUCGGAGCCGUUUUGAGUUUCGAGCAUGGGUUAAAGCGGGCAGAAAAUGCGAAUUUGAUGAACUAUUACGAUGCGUUCUAGCUCAAGUGGAUCCCAACGCUUACGAAAUGCUUAACCAAGGAGAUGAUGAUGAUGAUUAUGAGGAAUUAGUUGGACUCUUGAAAGAAAGAUUGAAGGGAAAGAAAUGUCUCAUCGUGGUAGAUGAUGUUUGGGAGACACAAGCAAUGGAUCGCAUGACAAAUUGCUUGGAAGAAGAGAAUAUUGGAGGGAUUCAAUUCUUACUCACAUGUAGAGAAAAAAUUAUAUUCACCAAGGAUGACGGGUACGAAAGAGUAAAUUUGUUGAAUGAAGUGCGCUUGUUGAAUGAAGAAGAAAGUAAGGAAUUACUUGGUUUGAAGGUGUUUGGUGAAGAGGGUUUUCCUCGUCACCUUGAGGAAUUGGGAGAGAAGAUUGCCAAGAAAUGUGAAGGUCUUCCUCUUAUGAUAGUCACGGUUGCAAAGCUCCUAUUAAAAGCCGACAAGACCCCAGAAUACUGGACUGAGGUAGCCUACAAACAACACAACUCACUUUUCGAGGAUGCAUAUAAUCAAAUAUCAGAGGUAUUUUUCCCAAGUUAUGACUACUUACCCCAACAUUUAAAAAUGUUUUUUCUAUAUAUGGGAGCAUUCCGUCCAUUUAGUGAUAUUAUCAUGCCAUCCAUGCUCAACAAUCUGUUGAGUGCUGAGGGGUUUCUUGAACCGAUUGGAGAAGAAAGUUUUGGAGAUUUUUUCGAUUUAUGCUUGGAAAAGCUUUGUUUGAUGUAUCAUCUUGUUCUCAACACAACAAAUUCUUUGUCUUUGUUGAGAAAUUUUCGCGUGCAUUCUUGCUGGCAGCACUUGUGUAAGGUAGAAGCUAGUAGGAUCAAGUUUCUGCAUGUCUUACAAAGUUGUGAUGAUUUCAUGGAAGACCAGCGCCGCUUGUGUGCCAAUUGGAACAGUUUAUUCUGCUUCAAACAAGUGUGUGAUUCGAUAGAAAGUGAUUGUGCAUCCACUGUCCGUUCUCUCCUUUGUUUUGGUCCUCAUCACCCAUAUCCAAUACCAAUAAAUUCCAUGGGUUUCAAGUUGCUCAGCGUACUAUUUGCUCUUGAUGUCCGAUUUUACCAUAUCCCAAAUGAAAUUUUGAAACUAGUUUGUCUGCGGUACCUUUCCCUAACUUGCAACGGGGAGCUCCCCGCUUCAAUAUCCAACCUCUUUCACCUUCGAUUCUUGAUUAUGCAUCCACAUAUAAGCAUUGUAAAGCGUGGAGUUCAGUCAUAUAUACCUGUUCAAAUUUGGAACAUGCAAGAACUAGAGCUUCUUGAGAUCCCGGGAAGGGACCUACCGACCCCUAAUACCGAUGAUGCUGCCUUGAACAAACUCGUUAAUCUUUUUGGUGUGAGCGCAAACAGUUGUACAAGGGAAGUUCUCAAAAGAAUUCCUAAUUUAACACAUUUAGGAAUUUAUGUGGAGUUGAAGCCUUAUGAUGACGAUGAUGUGAAACCAACCUAUUGAGUCGCUUGAGUUAUAUAUCACAACUCCAGAACUUGGUCGGACUUAGUUAUGGCAUCAGGAAUCCCGAGAUAAAGUAUGAGUGUAAUACCAUUCCUCUUUCAAUGUUCCCAUCAAGUCUCACAAUGUUAAAUUUGAGCGGGUUGGGGUAUUCUUGGAAGUACAUGAACGACAUUGGUUCGUUGUUGCCAAAUCUCGAGGCUCUCUCAUUAGAAUGCUAUGCCUUUCGAGGCCCAGAGUGGGAAAUAGAAUCAGGGGGUUUCUUGAAGCUCACUCAACUUGCAAUUGACGACACUGAUUUGGUGCAAUGGAGACCUCAACGUGGAAGCUUCCCAGAGCUCCGGCACCUAAUGAUGAAGGAUUGCUACAAGUUACAACAACUCGAUUGGCCAUAUGAUCAUUCUUGGAUCACAAGCAUUGGAUUGGCUGACUGCAAUCCUUUAGCUGUGGCUUGUGCCAAUCAAUUAAAAGACAAGUUUCCCUUUGAACUUACCGUCGAAUCUUCUUUUUGAGCUCAAGUCACUCUGCAACUAUCUUAUAGGUUAGUCUUUCUACUUUGCCAUAUAUACUGUCUGAAUUUAAGGAUUGUGAGUUGUGUUGGUUUUUGUUGAAGAUUGUAAAACCUGAGAGGUGAAUUGUGUUUUGUAAGUUGGAUUUGUGUGGAAACAUUAGUCCCUUAUUUAAGGUCUCUUUUUUCUCUGUUACUGUCAGUUGUUGUGUUUUUUGUUUUUAAUAGCUUAAAAAUUUCAUAUUCUAGCACUAUACUAAUUAUUGUCUGGUUUCAUAUUUCAAAUAUAUGAGAUCUCUCAGUGGAAACUCAUUAAUAUGAUUACUGAGAAACAUUUGUUGUAAUGAGAUCCCAAAUGAGUAUUUAUUUUUAUUUCUUUGAGGAACAGUUCACAUUGUAUAAAGGUCAAAAUAAUAUAUAACUUUAUGUUGAAGGAAAAAAUCUGACGAUUUUUACCAUUGAUUACACUAAUAUAUAACUUUAUGCAUAUAUGAAAUUAAUUUACUUAAAAAUUAAUUUCAUAGUGCAAAUUAACAUAAUAAAAACUAUGCUCAUAUUUCGAUAGUUUAAGUAGAUAUGCUCAUAUUUUGAGAAAAGCAUUGAAUGAAUAUUCUCCAAAUACAUAGUGCAAAUUAACAUACUAAACUAUGCCUAGAAUUUAAAAUAAAUGGCUUUGAAUUAAUGUUCUUCAAAAGGGUUAUGGCCAAAAAAUACAUAACUUUUCACUCGAACUUUCAAUUAAAAAAAAUAAAUACAUAAAUUUAUAUUUUUGUUGCAUUCACAUAAAAAAAAUACAUGAAUUAAAAGGGGUGGAUUCUAUUCAUAGCCUCAUCUUUACUCUUUAUAGCCCCCUAUUUAGAUUAAUAAUUAAAAACCAUUAAAAUUUUAUUGUUGUUCUUUAGAAACAGUUACAGUGCCUUUGUAUUGUUCAGAUAACCCAAAACUAAUAUCGUAAAUUAAUUUAUGAAGUACAGGGUAAAAUAUUUUAAAUUAGAGACUAUGAAGAGUAAAAUGAGGGCUAUGAAUAGAAUUACCUAUUAAAAGGGGUUAUGUGAACGUUUAGGCCCACAAAAGAAUAAAAAGCAUGCUACUAAAAGAUCAGAACCGAUCACCUACUCACCGUGGGCAAGCAUAACAUGCCCACCACUGAUGUGACAAUUUUAAUUAGGAAAUAGAAUUAAUAGAUCUUAGUCUAAUUAAAAUUAUCUUACUAUAAUUACAAUUGCCACAUCAUGGUAGGCACGUUAUGCAUGCCCACGAUGGGUAGGUGAUCGUUUUUGACUAAAGGAUAAAAGAAGUAGCAGCCCAAUAAUAAAAAAUAGCCCAUUAAAAGAUAAAAGAAGUAGCAGCCCAAUAAUCAAAAACAGCCCAUUAACAGAUUAAAGAAGUGGUCUCCACCUCUGGGAAAGAAAGCACAGAGAUUGAGUGUUGGAAUCAACGCGAGAGGAGAGUGCUCGAAGCAAUUCCUCCCACGUAAGAUAUUUUUGUAGGAAUUCCACCAUUCAACGCUGUAGAAUACAGAUGGCAUCAAUGGCGAGGCAUGUGGUUGGAUCCGUACAAUUUAAAAACAAUAUAGCAGCGGAGUAUACGGCAUUAAUGCUGCUUUCAUUAAUCAACACAUGCAUGUGAUGUGCAGAGCUGAGUUUAUGGAGAGCCUCAACUCAACCACUCUCAUUUUAACAAUUGCACCUUCAAAAUCCUUCAUCCUCUCACCACCUACCGCCGUUGCCAUUUUCAGACCUUCAAUCAUACUUCAAUGGCGGCUUAUGGUGCAGCGAUUUCUCUCAAGACUACGAUUCAGCGUAUUCAACAAUCGUCUCGCAUUUCUCUCGUUUCCCACUCUCCACAAAUCUUACAGCCUUCGUACGACGAGAUGGAUCGCUUGCAGAAAGUUCUGCUCGAAUUGGACGAGACCAGCUGCAGCAAGAUCAGGACGAAGGUGAAUGCUGUGGAUGAACGAAUCAAAGAGGUAGUUUGGGAAUUCGAAGAUUUACUUGAAUCCCAUAUCUUACCUCAGAUUCUUCCACAACUCGAAAGCGAGAGAGAUCACUUGUCUUUCUCUGUAGAUCUGCAGAGUUUGCAACACCGUGUUGAUUGCUUCGUCGAGAUGGUGAAGAUGAUGGAGGAAGAGUACAUCAUUGAAGUGCAGAAUAUGGCUGAAGAAGAAGGCGAGCCUCUUUCCUCAAGAAUUGAUUUUGGUGGUGGAAUGAUCAAGUCUAAGAUGGUUG
rnacentral:lncRNA from 1 species